GAUGAAGAACGCAGCGAAAUGCGAUAAGUAAUGUGAAUUGCAGAAUUCAGUGAAUCAUCGAGUCUUUGAACGCACAUUGCGCCCCCCAGUAUUCUGGCGGGCAUGCCUGUUCGAGCGUCAUUUCAACCAUCAAGCCCUGCUUGUGUUGGGGUCCUGCGGCUGCCCGCAGGCCCUGAAAACCAGUGGCGGGCUCGCUAGUCACACCGAGCGCAGUAGCACAUCUCGCUCAGGGCGUGCGGCGGGCUCCAGCCGUUAAAGCACCCACCUUUCGCAAGGUUGACCUCGGAUCAGGUAGGAAUACCCGCUGAACUUAAGCAUAUCAAUAAGCGGAGGA
rnacentral:misc_RNA from 1 species